rnacentral:rRNA from 1 species
UACGUAGGGUGCAAGCGUUAAUCGGAAUUACUGGGCGUAAAGCGUGCGCAGGCGGUUCGCUAAGACCGAUGUGAAAUCCCCGGGCUUAACCUGGGAACUGCAUUGGUGACUGGCGGACUAGAGUAUGGCAGAGGGGGGUAGAAUUCCACGUGUAGCAGUGAAAUGCGUAGAGAUGUGGAGGAAUACCGAUGGCGAAGGCAGCCCCCUGGGCCAAUACUGACGCUGAGGUGCGAAAGCGUGGGGAGCAAACAGG